AUUGAACGCUGGCGGCAUGCUUUACACAUGCAAGUCGAACGGCAGCGCGGGCUUCGGCCUGGCGGCGAGUGGCGAACGGGUGAGUAAUUCAUCGGAACGUGCCCAGUAGUGGGGGAGAGCCCGGCGAAAGCCGGAUUAAUACCACAUACGACCUGAGGGUGAGAGCGGGGGACCGAAGGGCCUCGCGCUAUGGGAGCGGCCGAUGUCGGAUUGGCUAGUGGGGGGGGGAAAGGCUUACCAAGGCGACGAGCCGUAGCUGGUCCGAGAGGACGACCAGCUACCCUGGGACUGAGACACGGCCCAGACUCCGACGGGAGGACGCAGUGGGGAAUUUUGGACAAUGGGGGCAUCCCUGAUCCAGCCCUGCCGCGUGAGGGCAGACGGCCUUAGGGUUGUAAACCGCUUUUGUUCGGGAAGAAAUCCUCUGGGCUAAUACCCCGGGGGGAUGACGGUACCGGAAGAAUAAGCACCGGCUAACUACGUG
rnacentral:rRNA from 1 species